rnacentral:rRNA from 1 species
UGCUAGUCGCACGAGUUCAGACUCGUGGCGAAUAGCUCAGUAACACGUGGCCAAACUACCCUUCGGAGCACGAUACCCUCGGGAAACUGAGGCUAAUAGUGCAUACCACAAUCCAGCUGGAAUGAGGAUUGUGCCAAAUGCUCCGGCGCCGAAGGAUGUGGCUGCGGCCGAUUAGGUAGACGGUGGGGUAACGGCCCACCGUGCCAAUAAUCGGUACGGGUCAUGAGAGUGAGAACCCGGAGACGGAAUCUGAGACAAGAUUCCGGGCCCUACGGGGCGCAGCAGGCGCGAAACCUUUACACUGCACGCCAGUGCGAUAAGGGAAUCCCAAGUGCGCAGGCAUAGAGCCUGCGCUUUUGUCCACCGUAGGGAGGUGGACGAAUAAGGGCUGGGCAAGACCGGUGCCAGCCGCCGCGGUAAUACCGGCAGCCCAAGUGAUGGCCGAUUUUAUUGGGCCUAAAGCGUCCGUAGCUGGCCGCACAAGUCCAUCGGAAAAUCCACCCGCUCAACGGGUGGGCGUCCGGUGGAAACUGUGUGGCUUGGGACCGGAAGGCGCGACGGGUACGUCCGGGGUAGGAGUGAAAUCCCGUAAUCCUGGACGGACCGCCGAUGGCGAAAGCACGUCGCGAGGACGGAUCCGACAGUGAGGGACGAAAGCCAGGGUCUCGAACCGGAUUAGAUACCCGGGUAGUCCUGGCCGUAGACAAUGUCUGUUAGGUGUGGCUCCCACUACGAGUGGGUGCUGUGCCGUAGGGAAGCCGCUUAACAGACCGCCCGGGGAAGUACGUCCGCAAGGAUGAAACUUAAAGGAAUUGG